rnacentral:rRNA from 1 species
GGACGCUGGCGGCGUGCUUAACACAUGCAAGUCGAACGAUGAAGUUCCUUCGGGGAUGGAUUAGUGGCGAACGGGUGAGGAACACGUGAAGAAUCUGCCCUCCACUUUGGGAUAACUCCGGGAAACCGGGGCUAAUACCGAAUAUUGAAACAUAAGUGGCAUCACUGAGUUUUGAAAGAAUUUCGGUGGAGGAUGACUUCGCGGCCUAUCGGCUUGUUGGUGAGGUAAUGGCUCACCAAGGCGACGACGGGUAGCCGGCCUGAGAGGGCGACCGGCCACACUGGGACUGAGACACGGCCCAGACUCCUACGGGAGGCAGCAGUGGGGAAUAUUGGGCAAUGGACGAAAGUCUGACCCAGCGACGCCGCGUGCGGGAUGAAGGC